rnacentral:sRNA from 1 species
UUGGCCGAGCAGGGGGGACCCGUUUUCAUCCUCCUCUUUGAAAUUGGAAGGAUUCUUUACUGAGCAAAAAAAAAAAAAAAAAAAUCCUCCUCCCGAUCAGCCAUUUUAUGUUAUUAUUUCCCUGUUGUUUUCGAGAUGUGUUUUAAUUCCUCCUAAUGAGCCCAUAAAUAAGUAAAAUGGAACGAGACAAGACAAGACAAGACAAAAGGGGACUGGAUUAUGCUGUAAAGAAGUGCAGCAGAAGCAGACGAAUAAUUCCACGAAUAUCAUAUAACUAUCAUUUUAUAAAGUUUUUUCUUCUUUUUUAUUAUCAUCAUGGUAUGUAAUAUACACAACAAGGGUGUUAUCCUUCAAACAAGCCAGCAUUCAUCUUUUAUUCUCAUCUUUACCCACUUUUUUUUUGCAUAGGGAAAGAGAGUGCUCCGUUUCCCAGGAACUAGCAUACUAGGCAAUACGAUUUGGUGAUAGAAGAAGAAGAAGAAAAGAAGAAAAAGAAGGCGACGAAGAAGAAAAUACAAAAUACAAAAAAUACUCGGCGCAUUUGACGCCCAGGGCGACGGAGAAGAUGCGCAAGGGGAUUUGCGCCGGCUAUGCAAGAUGCAGCAUGGGUGUGGCAGUGUGGUUUGGUGGGUGGCCGGC